rnacentral:rRNA from 1 species
UACGUAGGGUGCAAGCGUUGUCCGGAAUUAUUGGGCGUAAAGAGCUCGUAGGCGGUCUGUUGCGUCGGCUGUGAAAACCCGGGGCUCAACUCCGGGCCUGCAGCCGAUACGGGCAGACUAGAGUUCGGCAGGGGAGACUGGAAUUCCUGGUGUAGCGGUGAAAUGCGUAGAUAUCAGGAGGAACACCUGUGGCGAAAGCGGCUCACUGGACCAUAACUGACGCUGAUGCACGAAAGCUAGGGGAGCAAACAGG